rnacentral:rRNA from 1 species
AUAACAGGUCAGUGAUGCCCUUAAAUGAAAUGGGCGACACGCGCACUACAAUAGAAUGAUAUAUUAUUCUAAGGAGUUGGGAUUAUUAAUAUGUAAAUUUAAUAUGAACAAGGAAUUCCUAGUAAUAUUUUUUUUGUGAUGUUAACAACGAGAUAUGAAUAUGUCCCUGUCCUUUGUACACACCGCCCGUCGUUA